UACAGAGGUCUCAAGCGUUGUUCGGAUUCAUUGGGCGUAAAGGGUGUGUAGGUGGCGCCGUAAGUCGGGUGUGAAAUUUCGGAGCUUAACUCCGAAACUGCAUUCGAUACUGCGGUGCUUGAGGACUGGAGAGGAGACUGGAAUUCAUGGUGUAGCAGUAAAAUGCGUAGAGAUCAUGAGGAAGACCAGUGGCGAUGGCGGGUCUCUGGACAGUUCCUGACACUGAGACACGAAGGCCAGGGGAGCAAACGGG
rnacentral:rRNA from 1 species